UACAGAGGUCUCAAGCGUUGUUCGGAUUCAUUGGGCGUAAAGGGUGCGUAGGUGGCGCUGUAAGUCAGGUGUGAAAUUUCGGAGCUCAACUCCGAAACUGCAUUUGAUACUGCGGUGCUUGAGGACUGGAGAGGAGACUGGAAUUCAUGGUGUAGCAGUGAAAUGCGUAGAGAUCAUGAGGAAGACCAGUGGCGAAGGCGGGUCUCUGGACAGUUCCUGACACUGAGGCACGAAGGCCAGGGGAGCAAACGGG
rnacentral:rRNA from 1 species